rnacentral:rRNA from 1 species
UACGGAGGGGGCUAGCGUUGUUCGGAAUUACUGGGCGUAAAGCGCGCGUAGGCGGACCUGCAAGUCGGGGGUGAAAGCCCGAGGCUCAACCUCGGAACUGCCUUCGAUACUGCGGGUCUCGAGUCCGGGAGAGGUGAGUGGAAUUCCUAGUGUAGAGGUGAAAUUCGUAGAUAUUAGGAAGAACACCAGUGGCGAAGGCGGCCAUCUGGACGACUACUGACGCUGAGACGCGGAAAGCGUGGGGAGCAAAACAGGAUUGAGAAACCC